CGCCUUAUACAUGCAAGUCGAACGAAGUAGCAAUACUUAGUGGCAGACGGGUGAGUAACAUGUGGGUAUCUUCCCUUUGGUGAGGAAUAACACGAGGAAACUUGUGCUAAUACCUCAUAAGUCUUUACGGAGAAAGCUUUAUGCGCCGAAGGAUGAGCCUGCACUUGAUUAGUUUGUUGGUGGGGUAAUGGCCUACCAAGACUUUGAUCAAUAGCUGAUCUGAGAGGAUGAUCAGCCACAUUGGGACUGAGACACGGCCCAAACUCCUACGGGAGGCAGCAGUAGGGAAUAUUGCACAAUGGAGGAAACUCUGAUGCAGCGAUGCCGCGUGAGUGAAGAAGGCCCUUGGGUUGUAAAGCUCUUUCGUCGGGGAAGAAAAUGACUGUACCCGAAUAAGAAGGUCCGGCUAACUUCGUGCCAGCAGCCGCGGUAAUACGAAGGGACCUAGCGUAGUUCGGAAUUACUGGGCUUAAAGAGUUCGUAGGUGGUUGAAAAAGUUGGUUGUGAAAUCCCGGAGCUUAACUCCGGAACUGCAAUCAAAACUUUUCAGCUAGAGUUUGAUAGAGGAAAGCAGAAUUUCUAGUGUAGAGGUGAAAUUCGUAGAUAUUAGAAAGAAUACCAAUUGCGAAGGCAGCUUUCUGGAUCAUUACUGACACUGAGGAACGAAAGCAUGGGUAGCGAAGAGGAUUAGAUACCCUCGUAGUCCAUGCCGUAAACGAUGUGUGUUAGACGUUGGAAAUUUAUUUUCAGUGUCGCAGCGAAAGCAGUAAACACACCGCCUGGGGAGUACG
rnacentral:rRNA from 1 species